UGCGGGAAGAAGGCCUUCGGGUUGUAAACCGCUGUCGGGAGUUAAGAAAUGUAAGGAUGUUAAUAGCAUCUUUGCUUGACUAAGGCUCCGGAGGAAACCACGGCUAACUCUGUGCCAGCAGCCGCGGUAAUACAGAGGCGGCAAGCGUUGUUCGGAAUUAUUGGGCGUAAAGAGCACGUAGGCGGCUAUGUAAGUCGGUUGUGAAAGCCUUCCGCUCAACGGGAGAACAGCAUCCGAUACUGCAUGGCUUGAGUGCGGGAGGGGAGAGUGGAACUUCUGGUGGAGCGGUGAAAUGCGUAGAUAUCAGAAGGAACGCCGGCGGCGAAAGCGGCUCUCUGGCCCAUAACUGACGCUGAGUGUGCGAAAGCUAGGGGAGCAAACGGGAUUAGAUACCCCGGUAGUCCUAGCCGUAAACGAUGGGCACUAAGUAGAGGGGUUUU
rnacentral:rRNA from 1 species